rnacentral:lncRNA from 1 species
GUGGCAGCCCACGGCGAGGCUAAAGGUAUCAGUACUGUGGAGAAGGGAUGAAGGCAGAGAGUCAGGAAAGUUUCCCCACGAAUGUGUCAGAGGAGUGUGAAACGAUCUGAAUGGAACAGGAAAGGUUACACUGGGGGGAGCUGGGAGGAUAGGAGCUUUGGAGGCUGGACAUGUGGACAGACAGUGUGUGACAAUGUGUCUGAGGCAGAGACGGCUGAACUGGGCUGCUCGAGGCAGUGGCGCAGUGGAGAAGGGUGAGCAGAUGAGCCCCCGGGUCUGAGGGAGCAUCAGAGUCCAGACUGUCAGACUUGGAGGAAAAGGACCCAGGACCAGGCAGACAGCUGGGGGGGGGGUGGGGGGGAGGAUGGGGGGUGGUUUACUGUCAAUAAAUGGGGAGUAGAUUGCA